rnacentral:rRNA from 1 species
AACGAACGCUGGCGGCAUGCCUAACACAUGCAAGUCGAACGAGGCCCUUCGGGGUUUAGUGGCGCACGGGUGCGUAACGCGUGGGAAUCUGCCCUUAGGUUCGGAAUAACAGCUGGAAACGGCUGCUAAUACCGGAUGAUAUCGCGAGAUCAAAGAUUUAUCGCCUGAGGAUGAGCCCGCGUUGGAUCAGGUAGUUGGUGGGGUAAAGGCCUACCAAGCCGACGAUCCAUAGCUGGUCUGAGAGGAUGAUCAGCCACACUGGGACUGAGACACGGCCCAGACUCCUACGGGAGGCAGCAGUGGGGAAUAUUGGACAAUGGGCGCAAGCCUGAUCCAGCAAUGCCGCGUGAGUGAUGAAGGCCCUAGGGUUGUAAAGCUCUUUUACCCGGGAAGAUAAUGACUGUACCGGGAGAAUAAGCCCCGGCUAACACCGUGCCAGCAGCCGCAGUAACAC